rnacentral:rRNA from 1 species
AACGAACGCUGGCGGCGUGGAUAAGACAUGCAAGUCGGACGAGAUUUUCCGUUGUAGCAAUACGAUGGAAAGUCUAGUGGCGAACGGGUGCUUAACACGUGGGCAACCUGCCAUGAAGUGGGGGAUAGCUCGCCGAAAGGCGAAUUAAUACCGCAUGUGAUUAGAGAGGACAUCCUUUCGAAAUUAAAGACGGGGCAACCUGACGCUUCUUGUGGGGCCCGCGGCCUAUCAGCUAGUUGGUGAGGUAAUGGCUCACCAAGGCUUUGACGGGUAGCUGGUCUGAGAGGACGACCAGCCACACUGGGACUGAGACACGGCCCAGACACCUACGGGUGGCAGCAGUCGAGAAUUUUUGACAAUGGGGGAAACCCUGAUCGAGCGACGCCGCGUGGAGGAUGAAGGUCUUCGGAUUGUAAACUCCUGUCAUUGGGGAACAAGGUGCAUACGUUAACUGCGUGUGCAUUGAUAGUACCCGAAGAGGAAGAGACGGCUAACUCUGUGCCAGCCGCCGCAGUAA